rnacentral:snoRNA from 1 species
AGCGAGGCUAGAGUCACGCCUCGACAUGCUCCCGUUGUCCUGGUGUGCUAGAGUACUCGCAGAGGAAAACUGUCUCUGCUAUUCGUUGACUGUGGCCUGCAGUGGCUCAGCCAAUCACCAGCUUAGAUACACCU